UACGGAGGGGCGAGCGUUAUUCGGAAUUAUUGGGCGUAAAGGGCGCGUAGGCGGCUGUACAAGUCAAAGGUGAAAUCCCUCGGCUCAACUGAGGAACUGCCUUUGAAACUGUACGGCUUGAGGCCGGGAGGGGUAGCGGAAUUCCAGUGUAGCGGUGAAAUGCGUAGAUACUGGGAGGAACACCAGUGGCGAAGGCGGCUACCUGGGUCAAGAUUGACGCUCAUGACACGAAAGCGUGGGGAGCAAACAGG
rnacentral:rRNA from 1 species